UGGUUUCAUGUUCUGAGUUCAAAUUCAGCUGAGGUCAACUAUACCUUUCAUCCUUUCAGGGCUGAUAAGAUAUAGUACCAGUUGACCAUUGGUGCCAUUCUAAAUGACU